ACGAACGCUGGCGGCGUGCUUAACACAUGCAAGUCGAACGGUGACGACAGGAGCUUGCUUCUGUUUGAUCAGUGGCGAACGGGUGAGUAACACGUGAGUAACCUGCCCCAGACUCUGGGAUAACCCCGGGAAACCGGAGCUAAUACCGGAUAUGACACCAGUCCGCAUGGGCAUGGUGUGGAAAGUUUUUCGGUCUGGGAUGGACUCGCGGCCUAUCAGCUUGUUGGUGAGGUAGUGGCUCACCAAGGCGACGACGGGUAGCCGGCCUGAGAGGGCGACCGGCCAUACUGGGACUGAGACACGGCCCAGACUCCUACGGGAGGCAGCAGUGGGGAAUAUUGCACAAUGGGCGGAAGCCUGAUGCAGCGACGCCGCGUGAGGGAUGACGGCCUUCGGGUUGUAAACCUCUUUCAGCAGGGAAGAAGCGAAAGUGACGGUACCUGCAGAAGAAGCACCGGCUAACUACGU
rnacentral:rRNA from 1 species